rnacentral:tRNA from 1 species
GCAUUGGUGCUUCAGUGGUAGAAUUCUCACCUUUCAUGUAGGAGACCUGGGUUUGAUUCUCAACUAGUGCA